GUGCUCGCUUCGGCAGCACAUACACUAACACGGGAACCGUACAGAGAAAGUUAGCGUGGUCCCUGCGCAAGGAUGACAUCAAAUUUGUGAAGCGUUCCCUAUUUUU